rnacentral:rRNA from 1 species
GACAGAGGGUGCAAACGUUGCUCGGAAUCACUGGGCGUAAAGGGCGCGUAGGCGGUCUUGCAAGUCCCGUGUGAAAUCCCUCGGCUCAACUGAGGAACUGCACGGGAAACUGCUUGGCUUGAGUUCGGGAGAGGGAAGCGGAAUUCCGGGUGUAGCGGUGAAAUGCGUAGAUAUCUGGAGGAACACCGGUGGCGAAGGCGGCAUCCUGGACCGGUAUUGACGCUGAGGAGCGAAAGCCAGGGGAGCAAACGGG